rnacentral:rRNA from 1 species
GUGCCAGCAGCCGCGGUAAUACGUAGGUGGCAAGCGUUGUCCGGAAUUAUUGGGCGUAAAGCGCGCGCAGGCGGUCCUUUAAGUCUGAUGUGAAAGCCCACGGCUCAACCGUGGAGGGUCAUUGGAAACUGGGGGACUUGAGUGCAGAAGAGGAAAGUGGAAUUCCACGUGUAGCGGUGAAAUGCGUAGAGAUGUGGAGGAACACCAGUGGCGAAGGCGACUUUCUGGUCUGUAACUGACGCUGAGCGCGAAAGCGUUGGGGGAGCAACAGGAUUAGAUACCUGGUAGUCC